CCUACGGGUGGCUGCAGUCGAGAAUCUUCGGCAAUGGGCGCAAGCCUGACCGAGCGACGCCGCGUGCGGGAUGAAGGCCCUUGGGUUGUAAACCGCUGUCAGGGGGGAGGAAGCCGCAAGGUUGACCGAGCCCCAGAGGAAGCACGGGCUAAGUUCGUGCCAGCAGCCGCGGUAAUACGAACUGUGCGAACGUUAUUCGGAAUCACUGGGCUUACAGGGUGCGUAGGCGGCCUUCCAAGUCAGGUGUGAAAUCCCACAGCCCAACUGUGGAACAGCGCUUGAAACUGGUUGGCUUGAGUCAGCUAGAGGUGCACGGAACUUCCGGUGGAGCGGUGAAAUGUGUUGAUAUCGGAAGGAACACCAGAGGCGAAAGCGGUGCACUGGAGCUGGUCUGACGCUGAGGCACGAAAGCCAGGGGAGCGAACGGGAUUAGAUACCCU
rnacentral:rRNA from 1 species